AGGACUCCGGGCAGUCAAGGAAGAGAAGCAACAAGCCCAGGCAGAACCAGGAGAGGAAGAGGAAAUGAGGCAGGCUUGCCAAGGAAGGAAGGAGCCGCCACCCGCACUGGGAGAUUCAUCUGAGAGAUGAAAGGAACGGAAUGCCACAGGACAACCCUAGGGGAGGAGUGCACGACACUAGGGGCUUCGGAGGCACGAGGAUGCGACAUGAACAAGCCCACUCGCCGUCAGAGUCCCAGCGCCCUCUCUCCAGUGACCAGGCCCCCGUGGAGGGCCCAGUCCACCCUCCAGCUUUCAUAAACUUUGAAAUAACACAAUGUAAAACAGUCUAAAUUAUGUCAGAUGAUUCUAAGUGAUUAAAUGUGACAAAGAGGUA